CAAGCCACCACGCAGGGGAAGGGCGGCGGAACCCACAGCUCGAGCUCAGAUAACACAAGUGUGAAGAGAGGGGAGAGCAGCAAAGGCUGAGCUGCGUGUGCCUGGUCCCUUCCAGACUUUCCAGAUAACUUUGCCCCACGGAGGACAAGGAAAGCCAAAAGAGAGAAGCCAGGAUUGUUAGUCUUGGAAAAUGCCUCCAUAUAGAAACAUGAGCCGGAGAAUAAAUCACUUGCCUCUCUAACCAGUUGGAUUUGGUCCGUGAGUUCCUAGUUUUGUUCACCUGACUUAGUCCCUGACUUUUAAAGUCAAGUGCAUCAACAUGCUGC
rnacentral:lncRNA from 10 species